rnacentral:rRNA from 1 species
AUUGAACGCUGGCGGCAGGCCUAACACAUGCAAGUCGAGCGGCGCGGCGGUCGCGUGAGUGAUGCCUAGGAAUCUGCCUGGUCGUGGGGGAUGACGUCCGGAAAUGGGCGCUAAUACCGCAUACUAUCAGAUGAGCCUAGGUGGGAUUAGCUAGUUGGUGGGGUAAAGGCCUAGCAAGGCGACGAUCCGUAACUGGUCUGAGAGGAUGAUCAGUCACACUGGAACUGAGACACGGUCCAGACUCCUACGGGAGGCAGCAGUGGGGAAUAUUGGACAAUGGGCGAAAGCCUGAUCCAGCCAUGCCGCGUGUGUGAAGAAGGUCUUCGGAUUGUAAAGCACUUUAAGUUGGGAGGCGUUACCAACAGAAUAAGCACCGGCUAACUUCGUGCCAGCAGCCGCGGUAAUUC